rnacentral:misc_RNA from 1 species
CGCUUGGCUCGAACUUCGUGUGACUUGAACUUCGUGUUGGGAAUGUCAAAAUGUCAUAGUGGCUGUCAGUGAUAUAUUGACUUACUUGUCUUACUUGGUUAUAUUGACAAUUUUAUUUAUUAUAUUAUUUUUAUUUUUUAUUUUACUUAUAGCGCGCAUAGCGCGCGCCUGUGUGCUAGUAUAUAAAAAAGUGCAAAAUGGAAAGAUUUGUUUUAGACAAAAAUUGUAGGUUUUAAAGAAACCAUAUGGUAAUGCUAAUAGUUUGGCCUUGCAGUGAAUGUCAAGGUGAAAUAAUGAAAUAAUCACCUUCAUAUUUUUUAAUGGGACCCUACCUUUUCAAUACUUCCGUUUGUAAUCCUCCUCAUGACGAAUUCAAUGACAACAUACUCAAUAUCAUUCUGAAAGAAAUGUUCCAUAACAUACUUUGUUCUAUCGAGAUGUGAAACAAUUUUAAGUAAAUGGAAAUGUUCAUGUAGAAAAAAGAAACUGGCCAGAAACUGUCACAGAUGAAAAUAAUGAAAUUUUCGUAGGAGUAUCAGCUCAUAAUCCACAAACAAGUCAAUUGUCAUCAUUUCUGGCAUUUCAUAAAAUAGAUUAAACUAAAUUGCGCUAAUGACUAAAACCCAAAUAUAUAAAGCUUUUUUGAAACCAAUUAAUACAUAUAAUUAAUCAAGAUGAUUUAUCUUGUCAAACUAUUUUUCUUGAUUUUGUUCUAUAGUAAGAUAUAUUACAUUUGCACCUUAAAUCAUGCAUCAAGCAUAAGAAUAACUCCGACUAAAAGUUCAUAGUUGUAUAUAUUUUACCAGUAAUAACUCCAAACGUGAAACAUAUGUGGAUAAAGCUGAUGAAAUGCUGCUCCGCACGAAGUAUAUGUUCAUUCAACGAGUGCUCGCUAUGGAAUAAGAAAAGGAAAACUAAAGGGCAGAAAAAAGAAGAACUGCGCUUGCGCGUAUUUAGACCUCUGGCAUUAUUUUACGAUUAUUUUACUGUGGGGAAAUAAAUAUACGUUGAAUUGUUUCUUCCCUCCGUGUAAUAAUUACUUAAUCGUUGAACACUUUUUUCGAGGGAGGAAGCGUUACAUUGUCAUCAAACAGCUGUUAUACUCGCACGGUGGUAUCGUACACCACCUCGCACUACGUUUAUGCUAAAUUAAAUAAUUUACCUACAAAGUGAUAUGGUGAGGGAACAGUUUUACAACACUCUAAUGAUGGAAGAAAGGGAUAGACGGAGUGGUGUAGGUAAUUCCGCAGUCAAGUGCGAAGUUUCGACGAUCGCGAAACAUGAUCUGUAUUACAAAGCAGUACUUCAAUUGGAAUCGGGUACUUCUGCUCCCUAUGGGCUUGUGGCCUGACGAGGAAACAAAAUUUACUCGUUUUCGGGCAAGUUUAUUUUAUUGUCUUCUGAUGAGCAACAUUGCAUUUCAGCUGUCACGACUCUUCUUUGCAGAAUUUAGCUUUGAUUUUGUUAUCAAAAUACUUUCUUUCUCGGCAGCUUUUUGCACGCUCGCGAUUUUCUUCAUGUCUUUUUGGAUUAAUAUGGAAACUAUGAAAUAUUUAUUGCAUCAAUUGCAACACAUCUACGAUGGGCUAAAGAAUCAAAACGAAAUUGCUAUCUAUGAAAAAUAUGGAUACAUCGGAAAAUGUAUUUCGGCCAGACUGACAAGUAAGAAUAAGAUUCAGCGUUUAUUAUCAGAAUAUUUAAAAAUAAGUCACAAAAAGUUGGACAAAAUUGGAAAAUCGAAUACUAACUGUCUUCUAUGUUUGACUUCUAUGUUUACAGUAUGUACUAUAUGCGGUCUAUUUUUUAAUUUUAUCAUAAUAUAUUCGCCAUUCAUUCUUGACGUCGUCAUACCGAAAAAUGAAUCUUACGCGAUUUUCAUAAUGAAAAUGGUGACCAAACACUUCGUUGUAUCAGAAAAAUAUUAUUUUUUAAUUAUUGUGCAUGUGAACGCAGCCUUUUCUGUAGGAAUGAUCGUAUUAACAGGGACGGGAACAAUGAUGAUAUCGUACUUCAAGUAUGCUUGUGGAAUGUUUGAGAUUACUAGCUACCGAAUUGAGCAAGCAAUGGCGAUCGAAUUGUUACGUAACACUGACAUAAAGAAAGAAAUUGUGAUUUACAGAGGGAUAAUCUGUGCCGUAGACAUACAUCGCACAGCCAUGGAGUUCGCCAAAUGUUUUAUAACUAAAACUGAAGUACUAUUUUUCUUGUUAGUUAUAGCUGGUGUGCUUUGCUUGAGUUGCAACCUUUUUCGUGUGAGUUUUCUUACUGUCAGCAUACUUAUAAGCUUAUAACUAACAGACUUAUAGCAUCUUAUAAUAUCUAUUUAAACAAAAUAGUGACCAGAAAAUAUUGGUAAAGAUUAUGUAAAAUUGAGUCUCCUAUGGAGGAAGUGGAACAAGUUUUAUUACACUUUAUCGCUGUAAUACUCAUACUCGCGGGUACAUUCCUAGCCAAUUAUGUUGGACAAGAACUUAUGGAUUACAAUAAUCACGUAUACGUAACCACGUAAGUGACAUUCUUACAAGUUGUCCUUGUGAUUUUGCGCUAAUUAUUUGGAAGACAAUUAAAAAAUUAUAUGUGUCAAAGGUAAUUAAUCUAUUUUUUUAUACUUUCCAAAUUUCAUCUAUUUUAGCUAUUUCUUUAUAGAUACAAUGUUUCAUGGUACUUAGCACCUGUGGACAUACAAAAAUUGAUACUGUUUUUAAUACAAAGAAGCAGUCGAAUUU